rnacentral:rRNA from 1 species
CCUACGGGAGGCAGCAGUGGGGAAUAUUGGACAAUGGGGGCAACCCUGAUCCAGCAAUGCCGCGUGAGUGAUGAAGGCCUUAGGGUUGUAAAGCUCUUUUACCAGGGAGGAUAAUGACAGUACCUGGAGAAUAAGCUCCGGCUAAAUAAGGUGCCAGCAGCCGCGGUAAU